AGCAUCUACUGAUCGCAGCGGUAAUUUAUUUUGCGCACUUUUUUUUACGCCAACAAGCGAUGCACGAGGAAAUUGUAAUAAAAAAGGAAGAACUUGAUAUUGAUGAUACAAAAAUAAAGUUGGAGUUGGAUGAGGAUGCGCCGCAUUUAGAUAUGACGUGCGGGGGCAGCUUUAUGAAAAUCAUCGAAGAGCGGCCAAAUAUGAUAACGGUGCCGGUACAUGACUGCAAAUCCGAGGAUGAGCUUAAAUUCAUAGCGAGCCUCGGCACGUUCGAUCAGCAGCAAAAGUUAUUUGUGACGUCACCUUGUGAAAAUAUUGCCCCGGCUGACACUUUCGAUGCAUUUUCAUGCAAAAUUUGCAGCUUUACGUGUGAAAAUCAUCUGGCGCUGGCCUCGCAUCAGAUAAACCAUCAGCUAAAUCGACAUUUCUGCUGCUAUGGAUGCGGCGUCUGGUGCAACACGCUUGAAGAGAUUCUGGAGCACGAAUUUCGCAAGCAUGCGGGCGGUGUAAAUGGAUCAAGCUGUAGGAUUUGUGAGUUGAAUUGUAGCGAUGCCGCCGGUCUGGCCAAGCACAUGAGCAGCCACUUUUAUGUGCGCCGUUUUGUCUGCGCGGUAUGUCGCCGGCACUUUGAGACGCGCCAGGGAUUGCAGCUACAUCGGCAGCACAGCAAGGAGCUGUGCGGUCAGGUCGAAUAUGCUGAUAUACAUGGCAAUGUAGGCCAAUUGGUGGCGGUCAGCAAGCUCGACGCCAAAUUGCCUGAGGAUCUGGCGUGUGAUGUGGAAAUUAAAACGGAGCCCCUGGAAGCCGAAGAGCAACAGCCGGAAACGGAGCAUGAGCAGGAAAUGGCGGAUAUUGUUAUCAAAACAGAGCCAGAGUUCGAAGCAGAUGAGUUGAGCUCUGGCCAGGAUGCCAACUGGAUGAACAACAGCCUUGCAGGACAACUGCGCGGCAAAUUGCGUUUGCCUGCUAUACAGAAACCAAUAAAAGUUGAAACUGUAACGAGCGCUGAAACACCAACGGCUGCACCCCCAUCAAUACAGUUUGUGCCCGCAGGCAAAUGGAAGCCUAUACCAAUACCUAACACUAAUGCAUCCGUAAAGCUGCCAAACAUUUUGAAGCCUAACAAAGGCAAUAAUCAGCAGAAAAAUAUUUUGAAAAAGAACGUCUUGCAAUCGUUGAAAAACAAGCCAAAUAUUGCAGCCAACAUCUUAAAGGUUUUGCCCAGCAAUUGCAUGCUAAUCAAAUUGCCACCAAACACCAAGAUUGUUAAAAUAGCGCCAAGCCCGACGAGCGUCAAUACGAAUAGCUGCACCAUUGGCAGCAAGAUUAUUACACUGCCUAGUGCCAUGUCCAUAAGCUCAGUUUCCGCUGGUUCCAAGAACCAUUCGGUCGCCACAGUUCCAAGCCCAACUGCACCCAGUACGCCACAAGCAGAAGGCACACAAAAGGCGGCCAUAAAUCGCAAUGCUUACUUUAAUGCCUUAAGCUUAUUCGAGAGCUUGCCCGAAUCUCGUAAGAUCAUCACAGAAUUCCAAAAUCAAAUACGCAGCAUAGAGCAGACAUUGCCACUGCCCGGCAGCGUAUUGCAAACGCCCAAGAGAAACAACAAUUUAGUGUUGCCAUCGCAGCUGGAGGUGCUUCGGCUGGCUCCCACCAAAUCGAGCAAUGUGAAAGUGCGUCAAUUGCGCUAUACGUAUCCCAAUCAUCGUUUUCACUGGGAGUGUCCAAAAUGUGCGCGCUGCUACGAACAGUAUGUACCAUUCUGUAACCACAUGACCCAAGUGCACGGCAUUGCGGAAGCAGAGUUCGAGCAUAUAAAAGUGGAGGUCAAGACUUACAAGAAAUUGAAUUUAUCCAAAAUGGCUCCAGCCACAAGUCCAAUAGAGACGGCGCCAGCUGCGCCCACUACAGCUUCGGAAGCUCCUGUGAUUCCCGGUGCUGCAGAGCCAACUGCAGCUUCGACUGAGCGAGCUUCAGAAGCGUCUACAGCAACAGCUCAAGAUUCUUUAGUUGAAGCAGCAGAAGUAGCUCCUGUGGAAGCCGUUUCUCUUUCUUCUGCAAAGCCAACUCCUGUAGCACCUGUAGCGCCUGCAGCUCUUUCGUCAACGCCACCCGCCUCAGCUCCUGCUAAGUCAACACGACCAGCUCCAAUUGUUCGUCCUGCUCAGUAUCAGUGCGAGGAUUGUUCCAAAUGCUUUACCACUGUGGGUGCCCUGCGUAUCCACAAAAUGAUCCACACUGGGGAGCUGCCGCAUAAAUGCAACUACUGUGACAAGCGUUUUCGUACACCCGGCCAGGUGCGCGUCCAUCAGCGUCGGCACACAGGUGAAAAACCAUUCAAAUGCAAGGUUUGCUCGCUUGAUUUUACACAUCGCGAGACGCUCAUCUCCCAUCUGUCGCGUCACAUUGGCAUGAAACGUUACAAGUGCUAUGGUUGUGACAAGAAUUUCGUGGUGGUCAGUGGAUUGCGCGCACAUCGUCGUCUACGACCAGAUACGUGCGGCAAGGUCAAGUUUACGGCACGUGCACACGGUCCCCGAGUUCGUGUGAUACGAGGCGAAGUCGUUUUCGAAUCGCAUCCCGAGCAUAAUGGUUACUUACGUAGUGAGGAUCCUUUGAACAUUAUGUCUGAGAUUAAUCAGGCCUCCAAAGAAUCAUCUGUUGCUUCCGAGUCUAGCUAACAAGCUACGCAUUCUUUACAUACAUUGGUUUAUCUUUAUUUUACCUAUUUGUUAUGAACGUUGUAACUUUUGGAUGGUUGCAAUUGCAAAUGGAAAUCCUUACGCUUGCAAUACAAAGAGCUUAUGGUCAAAGAGGUUGGCCCAAACGCAGCUAAGCGCAUUAGUCAGUAUCUGCAAAAGCAACAAAUUCAAAGUCACACCAUAAACUAGAUGACCAGCAUCUUCCCGUCUCCCCUCGUGCCAAACGCCACAUUCCCGCCCCCUUGGCGCAACGAGAUUCCCGCCCUGCUAGACGAAGUCCUCGAAACCACAAAGCUGCACAUCAAUGUAUGGGAAAUGCAAUUGCUUCAGCAGUCAAAUUUAAUGAAUAUUUGCUGCAUGCACUCGCACACACACACACACACGUAAGUACACAUAGAUACGCAUAGUUGUAAGUAAAUUUUAUAAAUGGGUUUGAUUCAAAAUCAACUUGGCAAACUACA
rnacentral:misc_RNA from 1 species